GAUGAACGCUGGCGGCGUGCCUAAUACAUGCAAAUCGAGCGAACAGACGAGGAGCUUGCUCCUCUGACGUUAGCGGCGGACGGGUGAGUAACACGUGGAUAACCUACCUAUAAGACUGGGAUAACUUCGGGAAACCGGAGCUAAUACCGGAUAAUAUAUUGAACCGCAUGGUUCAAUAGUGAAAGACGGUUUUGCUGUCACUUAUAGAUGGAUCCGCGCCGCAUUAGCUAGUUGGUAAGGUAACGGCUUACCAAGGCAACGAUGCGUAGCCGACCUGAGAGGGUGAUCGGCCACACUGGAACUGAGACACGGUCCAGACUCCUACGGGAGGCAGCAGUAGGGAAUCUUCCGCAAUGGGCGAAAGCCUGACGGAGCAACGCCGCGUGAGUGAUGAAGGUCUUCGGAUCGUAAAACUCUGUUAUUAGGGAAGAACAAAUGUGUAAGUAACUAUGCACGUCUUGACGGUACCCAAUCAGAAAGCCACGGCUAACUACGUG
rnacentral:rRNA from 1 species